rnacentral:rRNA from 1 species
GACGAACGCUGGCGGCGUGCUUAACACAUGCAAGUCGAACGGAAAGGCCCUGCUUUUGUGGGGUGCUCGAGUGGCGAACGGGUGAGUAACACGUGAGUAACCUGCCCUUGACUUUGGGAUAACUUCAGGAAACUGGGGCUAAUACCGGAUAGGAGCUCCUGCUGCAUGGUGGGGGUUGGAAAGUUUCGGCGGUUGGGGAUGGACUCGCGGCUUAUCAGCUUGUUGGUGGGGUAGUGGCUUACCAAGGCUUUGACGGGUAGCCGGCCUGAGAGGGUGACCGGCCACAUUGGGACUGAGAUACGGCCCAGACUCCUACGGGAGGCAGCAGUGGGGAAUAUUGCACAAUGGGCGGAAGCCUGAUGCAGCAACGCCGCGUGCGGGAUGACGGCCUUCGGGUUGUAAACCGCUUUCGCCUGUGACGAAGCGUGAGUGACGGUAAUGGGUAAAGAAGCACCGGCUAACUACGUGCCAGCAGCCGCGGUGAUACGUAGGGUGCGAGCGUUGUCCGGAUUUAUUGGGCGUAAAGGGCUCGUAGGUGGUUGAUCGCGUCGGAAGUGUAAUCUUGGGGCUUAACCCUGAGCGUGCUUUCGAUACGGGUUGACUUGAGGAAGGUAGGGGAGAAUGGAAUUCCUGGUGGAGCGGUGGAAUGCGCAGAUAUCAGGAGGAACACCAGUGGCGAAGGCGGUUCUCUGGGCCUUUCCUGACGCUGAGGAGCGAAAGCGUGGGGAGCGAACAGGCUUAGAUACCCUGGUAGUCCACGCUGUAAACGGUGGGUACCUAGGUGUGGGGUCCAUUCCACGGGUUCCGUGCCGUAGCUAACGCUUUAAGUACCCCGCCUGGGGAGUACGGCCGCAAGGCUAAAACUCAAAGGAAUUGACGGGGCCCCGCACAAGCGGCGGAGCAUGCGGAUUAAUUCGAUGCAACGCGUAGAACCUUACCUGGGUUUGACAUGGAUCGGGAGCGCUCAGAGAUGGGUGUGCCUCUUUUGGGGUCGGUUCACAGGUGGUGCAUGGCUGUCGUCAGCUCGUGUCGUGAGAUGUUGGGUUAAGUCCCGCAACGAGCGCAACCCUUGUUCACUGUUGCCAGCACGUUAUGGUGGGGACUCAGUGGAGACCGCCGGGGUCAACUCGGAGGAAGGUGGGGAUGACGACAAGUCAUCAUGCCCCUUAUGUCCAGGGCUUCACGCAUGCUACAAUGGCUGGUACAGAGAGUGGCGAGCCUGUGAGGGUGAGCGAAUCUCGGAAAGCCGGUCUCAGUUCGGAUUGGGGUCUGCAACUCGACCUCAUGAAGUCGGAGUCGCUAGUAAUCGCAGAUCAGCAACGCUGCGGUGAAUACGUUCCCGGG